rnacentral:rRNA from 1 species
GAUGAACGCUAGCGGCAGGCCUAACACAUGCAAGUCGAGGGGCAGCACGUCUUCGGAUGGUGGCGACCGGCGCACGGGUGCGUAACGCGUAUGCAACCUACCUCUUACAGUGGGAUAGCCCAGAGAAAUUUGGAUUAAUACCGCAUAGUAUACAGAUUCAGCAUUGGGACUGUAUUAAACAUUUAUGGGUAAGAGAUGGGCAUGCGUUCUAUUAGUUAGUUGGAGUGGUAACGGCACCCCAAGACAGCGAUAGAUAGGGGCCCUGAGAGGGGGAUCCCCCACACUGGUACUGAGACACGGACCAGACUCCUACGGGAGGCAGCAGUGAGGAAUA